UGGGGAAUUUUGCACAAUGGGGGAAACCCUGAUGCAGCGACGCCGCGUGAUUUAGAAGGCCUUCGGGUUGUAAAAAUCUUUUUUACGGGAUGAAAAUGACAGUACCGUAAGAAUAAGGUCCGGCUAAAUACGUGCCAGCAGCCGCGGUAAUACGUAUGGACCGAGCGUUGUCCGGAAUCAUUGGGCGUAAAGGGUACGUAUGCGGCCUAGUAAGUUAGAAGUGAAAGAAUAUAGCUCAACUAUAUAAAGCUUUUAAAACUGUUAGGCUUGAGAGAUGAAAGGGAAAGUGGAAUUCCUAGUGUAGCGGUGAAAUGCGCAGAUAUUAGGAAGAAUACCGGUGGCGAAGGCGACUUUCUGGUCAUCAUCUGACGCUGAGGUACGAAAGCGUGGGUAGCAAACAGG
rnacentral:rRNA from 1 species